AGGGGGAUAGCUGGGUCAAAUGGUGAUUCUAUUCCCAGUUUUCCAAGAAAUCUCCAUACUUCUUUUCAUAUUGGCUGUACCAGUUUGCCGUCCUACCAGCCGU
rnacentral:pre_miRNA from 1 species